rnacentral:rRNA from 1 species
CCUACGGGGGGCAGCAGUGGGGAAUUUUGCACAAUGGACGAAAGUCUGAUGCAGCGACGCCGCGUGAAGGAUGAAGGCCUUCGGGUUGUAAACUUCGUUAUAAGCACCGGCUAACUACGUGCCAGCAGCAGCGGUCAUACGUAGGGUGCAAGCAUUACCCGGUCUUAUUGGGCGUAAAGAGUUCUGUAGGCGGUCGUAUAAGUUGGAAGUUAAAGACCCCGGCUCAACUGGGGGAGGGCUUUCAAUACUGUUCGACUAGGAGGUAACUAGGGGGUAGCGGAACGCAUGGUGUAGCAGUGAAAUGCGUUGAUAUCAUGCGGAACACCAAGGGGGAAGCCAGCUACCUGGGGUUAUCCUGACGCUGAGAGACGAAAGCGUGGGGAGCGAACCGGCUUAGAUACCCGAGUAGUC